rnacentral:rRNA from 1 species
UCAAGCGUUGUUCGGAUUCAUUGGGCGUAAAGAGCUCGUAGGCGGCCACUCAAGUCGAAUGUGAAACCUCGAGGCUUAACCUCGAGCCUGCAUUCGAUACUGGGCGGCUAGAGUCUGGUAGGGGGAUCUGGAAUUCCUGGUGUAGCGGUGGAAUGCGCAGAUAUCAGGAGGAACACCGGUGGCGAAGGCGGGAUCCUGGGCCAGUACUGACGCUGAGGAGCGAAAGCGUGGGGAGCAAACAGG